AACUUUGACUAGAUAAAAAGUAUUAAAUCAUUGCCAUCCUUUCAUUUCCUGAUCCAUGAAGGCCCUUCAGACCCAACAAAACCACAGUCUCAUAUCUGGGGAGAAUGUAAAGAGAGGAAUGAAUUGAAAAAACAGCAAAACUAGUUUAAGGUCAGCCAUGAAAACAAGCUAAAAGAGGAAUUGAGGGCUGUGGUUUUCCUUUGGUAUUGGAAGCAGCCAUGAAGCUACAGCAGUCCUCCCCUCUGGAAUAUGCAGCAACAAGGCAGGAUCUUGGAAUCAGAGACCAUGCCCAUCACUAGACACAGAACCUGCCAAUGCCUUGAUCUUGGACUUCCCAGCCUCCAGAACUGUGAGAAAUAAAUUUUGGUUCUUUAUAAAUUACUCAGCAUCCAAUAUUUUGGUAUAGCAGCGCAAACAGACUAAAACACUUAUAUAUGUAAAGGGC
rnacentral:lncRNA from 13 species